AUUUUUGUCCUUUCGAUAUCUCUUCUUAUUUUUUAAAUGCUGAAAAAUGUGAUGGACUAUCAUUUAUAUCUUUUGCUCAUUUUUCAUCUUAAUAGGUUAUAAUUAAAUUCUAUGCUUCUAGUUUAUUCUAGAACUCCUAGUGCCUUUGAUUUUAUUAUAUUUUUGUAUAAUGGUAGAAUCUCCAUUUUGACAUACAUGACAGAGAUCUCACAUUUUGUUCAUUCUAGAUCAAUGCAUUAAUUAGUUUCCAUACAGUAGGGAAGCUUGUGAAUAUGGAGGUUGCACACAAGAUUAAUUAUGUGUGAUUGUAUGUCUGCCUUAGCCAGUGUUCAUUCCACCACUUCUGUAGAAUUGAUUGAUAAUUUAAAUUUUAGAAUGUAAUUCUUUAGGAGUUGUGGUAGUUUUUUCUCUUUAUUCUAGUGUUCAUUUUUAAAAUGAUUACCUAGUUAUCAAAAAAAAAAAAAAAAAAAAAAAAGAGGAAAAAAUAAGAAUAAUUUUUUGGACUCUCAUCUGUAUUUCAGUUUUGAGGAUUAUUUUAUAUUAAUGACUUAAAUUAGCAUUAAUCAGCCUUUCUUAGAUGUUGCAUCAAUGAUACAUAUUUUGAUGAAAUAAGCUUAAGCUGAUCCUAAUACGUUGAUGGUGUAGUGGGUGGCCUUAACCUUACCAUCUGCAUGGGUACUUAGAUCAGAAUCUCUGGAUAUCUCUCUAUUUUUGAAGUCAGGAAUUAAACAGUAUGUUAAUUCCUGUUUUAUUUGAUUCCCUUGGUUGGAAGAAUGACAAUGCUGAAGGUUGAUAAUUUGAGUUUGAUUAAAUAUGUUAUUUUUAUUUAUUUAACCAUUGAGUGCUAACUGAUGAUCCGCUUUCCUAGUGAGAAAUUGGGUGGUCGCAACUUUAGUCUGGAAAUGUAAAAAUUCUCCUAGUUCAUUGUGGACAUGAACUUGAUUGAUCUACCUCUUGAAGGAGGGUCUUACACAUGGAUGAGUGGUUCGAAUUCACCUUUGAUGUCUAGGAUUGAUAGGACAUUGGUGUCUAAGGAUUGGGAAGAGCAAUUCCUUGAUGUUAUUCAGUGAGUGUUACCACAUCCGAUUUCAGAUUAUAACCCUAUCUUGUUUGUGGUAGGAGGAAUGGAGAGAGGUAAAAGUCAAGUCCCUGAUGUUAUUUAGUGGGUUUUACCACGUCUGAUUUCAGAUCAUGGCCCUAUCUUGUUGGAGGCAGGAGCAAUGGUGAGAGGGAAAAGUCCUUUUAGAUUUGAGAAUAUGUGCUUAAAAACAGAGUGGUUUGUGAAAAAGGUACAUUUUUGGUGGAAUCGUUAUUAUUUCCAAAGCACGCCUAGUUUUGUGUUAGCUAAGAAGUCGGAGGCCUCGAAGGAAGAUAUUCGCUUGUGGUAUACAAAGGAGUAUGGAAAUUUAUAGGUGAAGAAAAGGAGGUUGUUGGAGGAAUUGGUGAGGCUAGAUGGGAAGGAAGGGGUUACAGUGAUCACACUUGAGGAGAAGAGGGAAAAGGAUAGAGUGAUUUCAAAUGUGAAGCACUUGACUUUGUUGGAGGAAACAUUGUUAAGAUAGAAAUCUAGAGAUUUAUGUCUAAUUCCCAUAGAAAGAAUAAUUAUUUGGGUAAUUUAGAGGUGGAUGGGUAUAUGAUGAUGAGGGUUGAGGUGAUUGAUUAGGUGGUGGGGUGGGAUUUUAUUGAAAGUUAUAUAGGGAGAUAGAAACAUUGCGACCGGUGGUGGAUGAUUUGAAUUUUGAUACUAUUGGAGGAAGAAAUUCUACAAGUUGUGCAUGACAUGGAGGGGGACAAAGCCCUGGGACUUGAUGGGUUUACGAUGGCUUUUUUCCAUCAUUGUUGGAGGGUUGUGGAGAGUCAUAUUUUAGCCUUCUUUGAGGAGUUUUAUGAGUAAAUUCUUCAUUUAUUGUUCUUAUUUCUAAGAAACAUGAAGCCAAUAAUAUUUGAGAUUAUAGAGCAAUAAGUAUGUAGAGUAGUGUCUAUAAGAUUUUGGCUAAGGUCUUGGCAUACCGGUUGAGAGGGUCUGAAUCUCAAAAUGCUUUCAUGGGGGGUCUUCAUAUUUUGGAUUCAAGUCUUUGUUGCAAAUGAGUGUGUUGAUCGUUGUAUUUGAAGAAAGGUACUGGAUGUAAUUUAUAAAUUGGACAUAGAAAAAGCUUAUGAUCAUGUAAACCGAGAGGCCUUGCUUUACUCGCUAGAAAGGAUGGGUUUUGGAGUUAGAUGGCGACAAUGGAUCCAUACAUGUAUCUCUUUUGUCUAGUUUUCAGUUAGUCAAUAGCCCUUUAGUUGUUUUUUUCCCCUAAUUCGAGAGGCUUAAGAUAAGAGGAUCCUUUAUCUCCUAUGCUUUUCCUUUUGAUGAUGGAAGUGUUUUCUAAGAUUCUUAGGCGAAUGGAGGAGGCUGGUAUUAUUAGGGGUUUCAAGGUGCAUGGAGUGGGAGGUGAUGAGUUAUGCGUAUCUCAUUUGUUAUCUGCGGAUGACACCAUAUUGUUCUGUGAUACUACUAUUGAACAAUUUCUCCAUAUUAGAAUGUUGCUAACAUGUUUCACAACGGUUACAGGGCUUAAGAUUAAUGUAAGUAAAAGUGAGAUGGUUCCAGUUGGUGAGGUGGAUAAUUUGGACGAGUUAGCUGAUGUACUGGGCUGCAACAUUGGGGUUUCAUCUAUGACAUAUCUUGGUAUGCCUUUGGGAGCCUCCUACAAGUCGUCCUCUAUAUGGAAUCCAGUUUUGGAGAAGUUGGAAAAACACUUGGUAGGGUGGAAGAAAAUGUAUCUUUCUAAGGGGGUUCGCCUGACUUUGUUCUGUAGGGGUUCACAUGGGUGUGGUUUAUGGAGGGGCAUUUGAAAAGGUUGGGAGAGUUUUAGUAAGUUUAUUUACUUUGAGAUAGGAAUGGGGAGUAGAAUCCAGUUCUAGCAUGACUAUUUUUGUGAAGCUUAGUCGUUGAAAGGAACUUUCCUGGAUUUAUUUGAGGCUGCUACUUAUAGGGAGGCAUUUGUUGCAGAUAUGGUGGCGAGCCACACUUUGGAGGAAGGGUGGAGUUGGGAUGUACGGUUCCAAUGUGGUUAGAUGGAGUUGGUGGAGGCCUUUUUUCAUACUUUGGAGUCACUGAAUCCUCCUAUUGAGGAUGGAGAUAAGAUGUGGUGUUUGGGGCUGAAGGGAGAGUUUGAUAUAAAAUUCUUUUAUGGUGCAUGGAGGGGAUCUAGCUCUAUUACUUUUCCUUGGAAGAGUAUUUGGCCUGUGAAGGCUCCAUGUCGUGUGACUUUUUUUGGCUGGGAAGAUUCUCACAACUAACCAUUUGAGGAGAACGGGCUUCGCUAUUAUGGAUUGGUGUUGCCUUUGUAGACGUAUUGGAGAGAGUGUUGAUCACGUGCUCAUAUUGUGGUGAGGUAUCUUGGUUAUGGAGCUUUGCUCUUAGAUUGUUUGGUGUUUUUUGGGUUUUACCCAAGAGGGUUAUCAACUUAUUGGCUGGUUGGAGGAAUUGAUUGGGGAAGCAUUCUUCAAAUAUUUGGAUAUCACAUUGUGCGAAGUGGAUUCUUUGGAGGGAGAGAAAUAAUUUCAUAUUUGAAGAUUCGGUGCUUUCCAGGGAUAAGCUCAUAGCUCUAUUUGUGACAACUUUGUUUGAUUGGUCACGUGCGUGGGGAUUUACUUCUAGGGAAUCCAUUCCGCUGUUUUUAGAUUCCCUUUCUUGUACAUAAUUGUCUGUUUUUCCUAGUUGCUUGUACAUAUCUUCUUUGCCUACUCCCUCAAGAAAUGGAGUAGUAGUUUUAUUCAAUACAAUUUUUCUUACUUAUCAAAAAAGAAUUAAUGGCACUUCCUCCCUCCCCCCUUCAAAACACAAAAGGUGAGGUGUCAAUUCAAAAUCUACUGCAUACGUGCUUUAUGUGCACCCGUAAAAGGAUGUCACUGUUAUUUAUUUGAGUUAUAGAGUGGUAUGCUCUCUAGCUUAAAAGGCUUAGGAGCACCCUGGGGAGAGAACAAGGUUGCAAUUCAUGACUUGAAGCAGCUUUUUUUUUCCAGACUAUUUGAAUGGACAAAUGCUUUGGGCGUUUUCACUUUUGAUUCCCUGGUUGAUUUGCUUGAUUGUUGUAAUUUUCAUGCACUUUAGUUUUUCAUUUUUUUGUCCUUAGCACACUACCUGUGUGCUUUGGUUUUAUUUUUUUUGUGCUAUUUUCUUUUUAAUCAGUGAAGUAUUACUUAUUUAUUAAAAAAAAAAAAAGGCUGUAAGAGAGGGAGUAUAUGUGGUGCUUACAGGGGAAGUCGCAUUAUCGGCUUCUAGUCUUGAGAGGAUUAGGAGCUGUCCUACCUUGAGAUGUGCCUAAGGUGGUUCCAUGUAAACCUGUUGUACGCUUGUGUGAUCCCCCUUAGUUCUCACCCAUUUAGGGAUGAGAAUUUUCUCCUAUUUGGUUGCCUCUCAUAAUUGGUGCUUUUGCCCUAUAAUGCUGCAUAUUCCACUUUCAAUGGUUAGGAUCAUCUUCUCUUUCAGAUCACAAGAUAUUUCCUCUCUUCUAUUUUUAUUUUACUAUUCUGCAUUCUUGGGUGAAAGUAUUCCCUGAUGUAGCUCUAACGGGAGUUCCCUGACUGAUUUAGGUCAUAUUUUAAAUUUGAUUAGAGCCCAAACUUUGGUCAUUCUUGUAUUUGUUAAUAGAUUUUAGUGUUGUAUCCUUGAGAUAUGAAUCAUGGGUGUGGUUCUUUUUAACUUGUUGGCAGCUAAGAAGGUCAAAGCUGUAUAGUAUAAACUAAAGUAAUGGAUGAUCCUUUUUGGUGUGGCUGGAAGGAAUUUGAUUUUAAACUGGAUUAAAUAUUUUGUUGCCCAACAGGGUUUCGUCCCUUGUUGUCUUGUGAAUUGGUGGCAAUAGCAAAAGCAAAGUAUUAGUUCAGGUAACUUGACAGAAAUAAGUUAGUAUUUGAUUUAACAGGCCAUGUCAUAACAAAAGGCCUUAAGGUUAGAUGAAUUGAAUUGCACAUAAACGACAACAUUCAAACCAAGAGCCUUGUAACUCAACUGGCAUUUCAAACCGUUUGUAUAUUUUUAUAUUAUGUUCACUAUCUGUCCCCUCAAAGGUAGGGACAAAAUUUAACAUCUCAUUUGUACCCUCCAAAAUACCUGAAGACUACUUUGCAUUAUUUUGGCACUCUGAAGGUUCAAUACCUUCACUAGGUGUAUGCUAAAGCUUGAGUUUUUGCCUGCUUGAGACAAUGUUCCCACUCAGUUGAUCUCACUUGAAAAGAAACCACCAAAUCUUUUGACCCAACAAUUGACAUGAUACGUAGUAUGGUGACACUAGGGGUGGCAAAUGGACAGAUUGGAUCAUAAAUGGGUUGGGUGUGUAAUUACCCAUUUAUGACCCGUUUAUAUAUAAAUUAAUUAUCCAUUAUCCACCCAACCUAUUUAAUUAGUAACCCGCCCAUUUAACCCAGUAUGACCCAAAUAAAUAAAUAACUUGUUAUUAGAUUUUCCCAUUAAGUUAGCAACUACAAAAUUUCUCAUAAACCAAACAGGACCCUUGAAAAUUGUAUUAAAAUCUUUUAGCUUUAAAACAACAUCAACCACUUCAUUUUCAUUUAUUUUCCCAAACUUUCUCACAAACCAAACAGAACUUCUCCUUACCCAGACCAAUACCUAACUAAUCAAACAAUCUUUUAAGCAAACAAACACUCAUAGAACUAACUUGAACUUUAGUCUAAACUCUGAAAUACAGUUUUUCCCUAAUUUUCUCAAAACUUGCUCGGCAACCAAACAGAAAAAUACAAAAAAAAAAACCUGUUACCAGUAUCUUUCUUGAUAUCCUCAUGCUCAUGCCUCCGCUUCCGAUGGCGAGCCCAAUCGGCGGUACUAUUACAGAUACUUGUACAACCUUCGUUAUCGGGCUAGUUCUCGAGCAGGUUGCCAAUAAUCUCGAUCCGGAGCUGCCGGUCCGAGAAGUUACUAUCGUUGAAAGCGAACGCGAAAUCAGCAUCUGUAGAAGCUGAUACACUACCUCUGGUGAACUCCGAUUCCAUCCCCGUUCUCUCUCUAGAAUUUCCUUUUGUUUGGUUACUGAGAAAAUCUGAGGGAAAAUGUUUGGGCUUAGAAAUCUAGAGGUUAAAGUGUUUGGGAAAGUGUUUGGUUACUGAGAAAAUCUGAGGGAGAGUGAGACUGAGGACCGAAUGUUUGGGCUUAGAAAUCUAGAGGUUAUACUGUUUAUUUAAGUUUUAGAUUUUAGAAGGGCUUAGUGGGUAUUAGUGGGUUUAUUUAAUUUUAAAUUUUAGAUGGGUUUAGUGGAUAUUAGUGGAUUUAUCCAUUUAGACCCAUUUAAUUAAAUAACCAAAUGAGUCUUUAUUCAUUUAACCCAAAUACUCAAAUGGGUUGAGUUAAGACUUAUCCAAAUAAGGUGUGUAAUGGGCGGGUUCAUGGAUAUAGAUAAAAAUUGCCACCCCUAGGUGACACGACAUUUCUUAAAAAACUAGGAUAUGAUACGUCGAGGAUACAACAAUUAAUUAGUGAAUUAAUUUUUUUUUUAGGUAUAUAUAUUUUAUAUUUGGAAUAAUUUAUGUUUAUUUUGGAUGUAAAAAUUAUGUAACAACUAUGAAAUGUUUGGAAAUAUAUCUAAAAUUAAUUUAAAGACAAUAAAAUAUUGUUUAAAGUACGAACAAGAGAGUUCAAAUAAACCAGACGCCCAUAAAAAGAAUUCAAAUAAACAACAUUCAACAUCAAAAUAGAACAACCGAAUUAAAAAAUAAUUUUUUCUUCCUGAGUGCAUGCUUGACACGUUUGUGUCCAUGUUAGAUACAUGUCUGACACCAGUACGUUGGCAAUUUUUCCUCGUCUGUGCUUCCCAGGCUGCACCUUGGGUGGGCUAGUUUUCUUCCUUUAUUUGUGACCAUAGUUGUGGGCCUUACAUGCUCAAGAUAUUGAUUGGUUGUAUGCAACUGUGUGUUCUAUCAUCUUCCACUUGGAUCACGAUCUUUACGUAAUUGAUAUUUACAAGUGAUUGUGAUCAAUUGUUCGUCAAUUUGGUGGUUUUCAAUUUUUCAUCAACUCAUCAAAAAUGCCAAAGAAGCAGUUCUUUACUCUAUUAGGCCACAUAGAUGAACGUACAAAAAAAGGGUAAUUUUGGCAGCCCAACCACUUACCAGUAGUAUCUCCUCCUUGUCGUCCACAAAUUUCAACCGAUCAGUUCAUUUAUUCUAGUGGCGGGUGACUUGUGAACUCUUUGAACCUUCUAGAAGGAAUUUGUGUCCUGCAUCUUCAAAGGUUUUAACAUUGUGUUCUUCUUUCCACUUGAAAGCUAAUCACAUGGGUUUGUUUCCCAUACUAAGUUAUUAAGUGUUGGAGAAGCACAUUGGGUAUCGUCUAUUUCUAAGACUCCCUUCAUUCCAAUACACAAGUUUUCCUAUACCCCUAGAUAUUUGAAGUGGUUGGAGGAUAUUCUUAGCUCAGCCGCUGCAACCGCAAAGUGCUAAAUGAUGCUAGGCUUUAUGAAGCGCUAUAUGCCUCAGUCUUCACCUGGUAUCAAAAUGUGUUCAUCGUGCAAGCUUUCUGUGAAUGUUGGUGCCCUGUUAAAAACACUCCGCAUACUUCUAUGGGAGAAGUCUUUAUUGCCCUUUGGUGUGGUAUGUCUUGUAUGUUCACAUCAUAUCCCUAUAUAUAUAUAUAUAUAUAUAUAUAUAUCAUAUCUCUGCAUACUUCUAGAUAUCAUAUCUCAAUUGAAUGUUGAAUGUUGUCAAGAAAGGUACUCCAUGCUAAAUGUUUCUGAACUGACCAACCCCUUGCUAAUUGGCUUCCAAGCCUGAGUCGCAACAGUGUUUAAAGCCUUCCAUCAGAGUUUGUACGUUGCUUAUAAUCUUUAACGGAUGACUAUGACCCCCCUCAAUUUUCUUUUUUCCAGAUUAUGUAAGAUUAAACCAAGAUGUUGAGUAUAUUUUUAGGAAGUGAUGAACCUUUGUUUUCAUUUUUCAAUGAGAAUGAUUAUGGCUAUAUUAUAAAAAUUUGUGAUUGUUCAUUUCUUUGGUGUGGUAUGUCUUGUUCUCUUAGGUGCAUACUACUAAAGAAUAAAGAUCCAACCGAUGGUUUAUGCUUGGGACCUUAAUACAAACAUAAAUCUAAUGAUGAGCUGAAUUUGAUCUGGUUUCUUUG